GAUGAAGAACGCAGCGAAAUGCGAUAAGUAAUGUGAAUUGCAGAAUUCAGUGAAUCAUCGAAUCUUUGAACGCACCUUGCGCUCCUUGGUAUUCCGAGGAGCAUGCCUGUUUGAGUGUCAUUAAAUUCUCAACCUCACCAGUUUUCUGAACUGUUCUUCGAGGCUUGGAUGUGGGGGUUUGUGCAGGCUGCCUCACGGCGGUCCGCUCCCCUGAAAUGCAUUAGCGAGUUCAUACUGAACUUCCGUCUAUUGGUGUGAUAAUUAUCUACGCCGUGGACGAGGAUCAGACUCGCUUCUAACCGUCCGCGAGGACAAUACCUUGACAAUUUGACCUCAAAUCAGGUAGGACUACCCGCUGAACUUAAGCAUAUCAAUAAGCGGAGGA
rnacentral:misc_RNA from 1 species